CAUGAAUACCAAUGGAAAACUAACCUGUAACGAGCAAAUCGGGGACGACUGCGAUGUAGAAGUGUUGGAACAAAGAACCUGUAACCAGUAAAGGGAAAUCAAUGUUACAAAAAUAAUCAGUUUAUAAAAUUGAUCAUACACUUUACCAAAGCAGCCUCUCAUUUAGUAACCAGUCCUUUAGAUUAUUAAAUAUACCAACUUGGCAGCUUUGAAUAUAUAUGCAAAGCCAUUUUACUCUAAAAUACAUCCCUCCAUUUAUCCUCUUUAAUGUGGUUCACUAGCACCAAGGAAAGCUUAGCAACGAGGACUUUACAUUCCCUUUCGAAUUUUAAAAUCCCAGGGUUUACCAUCACAAGAAGAUACAUCCUUAUUCAAUCACACUCACCAACUAUUAUGUAAUUACUAAAAAAUGCAACCAAAAUGGGGUUGGCCUAACAUAAAUCAUACACCACACCAUCAAUUGAAGGUUAAUUCAUGGUAACAUUAGUAUUGAAAGGUUGCGUUGUGGGCAGCCUAAGAGGACUCGCAACACUAGGCUUAAUUGCUGUAACAUAUCACAUUCGGAGGCUAGUUCAGACAGCAUCAAUAAUACAAUAUUUAGACAUCAUUAACAACGCAAUAUUCGAACAGCAUCAAUACCACAAUCGGACAGCAUAAACAGGGCAGCAAUUAACAAUACCAACAAGGUAAAAUUCGGACGGCAAUUUAACAGUUUCAACAAUUAUCAAACACAAGAAAAUAAAAGUUCAAGGAAAACUCGCCAAGGUUCCCAACACCGAUUCUACCUAUUUAAUUUACUUCUUCCCUUUUCCGCUACAACCUUCUCCCACCUUGUUAGCUAAAUACAAUGAACCCUAAAGUUACAAAAAUGGUGUAUAACAACUCAAGCAUUCACUAAAUUCUUUUAACACAAGUGAGAAACUCCUCAUCUUCUAGACAUGCAACAUUUACAACUAGAAAAGAAACUCUUCUCUUCUCCCACACAUUCGGUCAAGCUCAAUUCAACAAUGCAACCUGAAUUUGUCAACGAAAAGCUAUGGGCAAGGGAGAGCUUAGAAGAGUUACAGUUCUACUUGAAAAUUUUAACUUCUAGGCAAGCAAAUUUCAUGGUUUUCCAGUACAUGUAGCCGGCCUCUCCUCUCUAGCUUCAUUUGAAAGAGACAAGGAAGGAAGAUAGAAAAAUAAAAAGUCGAAGUCUUUCUUUCUUACUUACCGUCCAUUUCUCCACCCUUUACCCAUCAUAAAAUGAAAUUUAGCCAAUCAACAAAUCUUAGCCGGCCACCAACCAAAAACCAAAAAUCAUAAAAUGAAAAGAAUCAUGUAAAAGAUUAUUCAUACCUCAAAAACCAAACGCCGAGACCGAGAGAAGAAACGAUGAGGACAGAAUCAUCAACGAAAGCAAUGGGAAAUGGGAGGAGAAAUUAUGAGGACAGAAGAUGAGAGGGUCGGGUAGGGAGGGAGGGUAAAACAGAGAGUUGGGGAGGGAAGCCGGACGUAAUACCUAUUACUCGACUUGGGAAGGGAUUAGAAAAGCAGGGAAUUUGGGGAUUAGGUCGGGAUUGUAUUACGCGCGUAAUACCUAUUACAGCGAACCAAACUCCAGAUUAGGGGCGUAAUGUAAUAGCCGCGUAAUCGGUCAGUAAUGGAUUACCU
rnacentral:lncRNA from 1 species